GGAGUUGUGAAGUUACCUAAAGUCUAAGACGUUGUGUGGUCCUCAACCUUGGUGGAAUGACCUUUUUUGUAAAUCCAUCUAAUUAGAAGAGUUGAAGGUUUCUCACCUUCCAUUAAGUAGAUCGAGUAUUAACGAAGGUUCUAGGUUGUGGAGGUUUUUGACGUCCAAAGGAUAGAGUCGGCCCUCAAAUGAUUAACACCAUGGACUAUCU
rnacentral:rRNA from 1 species